GUUAUAAUGAAACAAGCUUAUAUAUACUGAAUUAAUCAAACUGGGUAUUGUCUAGCAUUGUCUCGUAUGAUUGAGUCAAAACAUUCCAUAGCUGUCUUCCCGUAUCUCUCCCUGUACAUAAACUCGUCCAGUUUUCACACGAUUCCAAUAGGACUCUAUGCUUUGUGUAUGAACACCUGUGGGACUCACAAAUUCAACAGAAUGGUUGACGGUUUCAUGUUGGGAAACAUUUGGUAGUGAUGACAGGUGCCUGUAGGCUGCCCACUGAUCGGAAUAAACUGUAGUACCAUUACCUACGUGCUGCCUAACAAUGGGAAGUAGUGUGGCUGCCGUUCUGUCAGGUACUAUUUGCAUAUACCCUAGUGCAGGUCUAUGGCUUACAUCCACCAUUCCAAAUACCCAGACAUCGUUGUUAGUGGCACGUCCUCUGUGAUUCUGAAAAGGUUUGUGUUUAAACAUUGAUUCAUCUAUCUGGACUACCUUUCCUUGUCCUCCUAAAGUAAUUGGCUGUUGCAAAAGGGUUGUUGAAC